rnacentral:tRNA from 1 species
GGCCUCGUAGCUCACCUGGUAGAGCAUGCGCGUACAAAGCGCAUCAUGCGUGGGUUCGAAUCCCACCAAGGCUA